UACGUAGGGGGCAAGCGUUGUCCGGAUUCAUUGGGCGUAAAGAGCUCGUAGGCGGCUGUUCAAGUCGAACGUGAAAACUCGGAGCUCAACUCCGAGCCUGCGUUCGAGACUGGAUGGCUAGAGUCUGGUAGGGGGAUCUGGAAUUCCUGGUGUAGCGGUGGAAUGCGCAGAUAUCAGGAGGAACACCGAUGGCGAAGGCAGGUCUCUGGGCCACUACUGACGCUGAGAAGCGAAAGCAUGGGGAGCGAACAGG
rnacentral:rRNA from 1 species